rnacentral:rRNA from 1 species
AGCGUGCCCGGCACCUGUGCGGUUCGUGAUGUCGGAGGCUUCGGUCUCUCGGCACGCGUCCGUAUGAUUCUUUGCCGGGUCUCGUCGGCGUGCACUUCUCCCCUAGUAGGACGUCGCGACCCGUUGGGUGUCGGUCUACGGCCCGGGCGGUUGCCUGUCACUCGUUUGCUCUCAACGGCAAACUUGUGGCAGACCCCCGGCUUGUCCGACCAGCUGCCCGGCGGUACYCGCACGGUAUCAAGCCGCAGAUUUUUAAACNUGCGUCCGGCCCGCCGCAAGCGAGGCCAGUGUUUCCCGGAUGUACGGACCCAGAGCCGUCGNNGGGCCUGGCCAGCUGUUGGCUGGCGGUGUCCUGGGACCGGCUUUCGAUUACCGGUCGGCGACGCUACCGCUUUGGGUACUUUCAGGACCCGUCUUGAAACACGGA